CGGGAUUAGGAAAAAGGCCAAUCCCAGUUGGAAUAGUUUAAAAAUAACUCAAAAAUAUUCUGCCAAUAAAUACACAUAUCUACCAAUGGUUUAGUACACGCUAAAAUUGUUCUGCGGGGCGCAAGGAAUGUGUGCUCGGGCCGCGGUGUGAACCACCCUGAUCUACCCUAUAAAGCUCGGUAAAAGCAAUGCCUAAUCAUAAUCAGUUAACCGCUAUCUUGAAAUUCAUACUAACAUACAUUCCUAAAUCAUCAAAGGUUAUUACUGUUCCACCCGAAAGUUGGCCAGGGCAAAUUUGACGUUUUUACGUACACUACGAAGACGCGUCUGACGCAUUACACAAUGGUAUGUUGUGAGUUUGUUGAUUAAUUAUGAUAAUUGGUAAAUUAGAAGCGCAAUGGUUGGAUGUCUUGUCUCAGUCUAGCGCAGUAUUCAGUGUGAAUCAGUGUUUACAGGUUCUGUAUUGUUGGUAGUACUCGCUAUGUAUCUGUUGGAAAUGACAAUUUGUGAGUUUACAAAUUCUUGUAAGAAUUGAUGUUCUCAAGUCUAAUACAAAUAUAAUGUAGGGCAGUAUUACAGUCAACUUAGCGCAGUAACUACUGCUUUAAUAUUUUAUUCAUAAAACUUGGAUUUUAUUUACUCCAAGGCAUAUUUCGUUUGAUUGUGUUACUUGUAGAGUCAAAACAUUAGAUGCCAUGUUCCUGAUUUCAUUCCCAGUUCCAUCGUGUUGACUGUUUUGAACAAACUACACAGAUUUUUAGUUGAAUUUCAUUGGGACAUAGCACUUUACGGCACAGAUAAUAUGCUGGAACCCCUUGCUCUCUAAUAUCAAACACUAGUAACUGGUUCAGAAACAAAUCGUUUUGUUCGUGACAAGACUUGUUUAUUGGGGGUGCGUUGUCGAAGAUCUUCAACCACUAAUAUUUAGCUACGAAUGUAAACUUUUUCUUUUCUUUUGAAAAGCCGAGAACAUUUGAAAAAUAUAUUGCAUUUUAAGAAUAUCCUAACGUCAAAGCCAGGAGAAUGAGCAUGUGUUCAAGUAUUCAAAAUGAAAUGAAAAAUACCUAUUGCUUCAAUUAUCACCCUUCCGAAAUUUACAAAACCAUCUACACAGAAAGCUAAACUCACAUCUCCCACUAACCUUUUGAUUUCUGGUUUUCUUCUCUCUAAAGGUAUUUGAGUUUUAAGUCAAUUUCUUAUGCUCCACAUUUUCAGGAAUGUUUGUAAAUGAGCGUUCUUGGCCUGAAUCGCUUGUUUUCUGAAUAAAGGUCCACAAUUCA